rnacentral:sRNA from 1 species
GCGAAGAGGAAUCUUUUUCUUUUUUUUUUAAAUUUAAAAAUACACACGGGAUUAAAUAAACUAAGAGGCUCAGCCCAGGGAAUUCUGGAUCUGGGUUUUGAAACUGAGAGGACCCCUCUACUUUUGGCCAUCUGGCUGCUCUAAGCUUUGCCCCAUGCUGUAUAAUUUUAGCUGAAAAUCUCUUCCGUUGCAGCUUUGCUUUUAUUGAAUUCAUCAAAAGCAAACUUUCCCUGAGUUUUUUUUUUUUUUAAGAAGGCUAAAAUAAUACGCCGACCACUGUGACAUUCUCCGAGCUCAGGCCAUUUUUCAUAACGCCUUGGAUCUGCUUUUGUGCCUCUGAGGCGACUCAAGAGAUGAAUAACGAGCAAAGUCCGCUGAAAUAGCUAGCUUGAUUUUGAUAGCUGGUUUUGGCAGAAGGAAGGAAAAAUCUGCAGCCUGAAAGGAAGACUCAAAGUAUUUAAAGGACGCUUAGAAUGUAGCGUUGUGGCAGGUCUGGGCUCCAAAGGGAAGCACAGAAGAAAGUGAAGGGGAAGAAGGAUUCCUGUGCGUAGUCCCCGGGCUCCUU